GCUGGUUAUCCUGCACUGAAUCCAUAGGUGUAGGAGGCGAACGCGGGGAACUGAAACAUCUAAGUACCCGUAGGAAAAGAAAUCAAUUGAGAUUCCGUCAGUAGCGGCGAGCGAACGCGGAUUAGCCCUUAAGUCUAUUUAGUGUUAGUGGAACACUCUGGAAAGUGUGGCCAUAGUGGGUGAUAGCCCCGUACACGAAAGCGCUUUAUAGAUGAAAACGAGUAGGUCGGGACACGUGUUAUCCUGACUGAAGAUGGGGGGACCAUCCUCCAAGGCUAAAUACUCCUGACUGACCGAUAGUGAACCAGUAUGCGUACAAGCAGUGGGAGCCCUUCGGGGUGACUGCGUACCUUUUGUAUAAUGGGUCAGCGACUUACUUUUAGUAGCAAGGUUAACCGUUUAGGGGAGCCGUAGGGAAACCGAGUCUUAAUAGGGCGUUUAGUUGCUAGGUGUAGACCCGAAACCGGGCGAUCUAUCCAUGGGCAGGUUGAAGGUGCCGUAACAGGCACUGGAGGACCGAACCCACGUAUGUUGAAAAAUGCGGGGAUGACCUGUGGAUCGGAGUGAAAGGCUAAUCAAGCCGGGAGAUAGCUGGUUCUCCUCGAAAGCUAUUUAGGUAGCGCCUCGGACUUAUACCUACGGGGGUAGAGCACUGUUUGGGCUAGGGGGUCAUCCCGACUUACCAACCCCAUGCAAACUCCGAAUACCGUAGAGUACAAUCACGGGAGACACACGGCGGGUGCUAACGUCCGUCGUGGAAAGGGAAACAACCCAGACCGCCAGCUAAGGUCCCCAAAUCACAGCUAAGUGGGAAACGAUGUGGGAAGGCCCAGACAGCCAGGAGGUUGGCUUAGAAGCAGCCACCCUUUAAAGAAAGCGUAAUAGCUCACUAGUCGAGUCGGCCUGCGCGGAAGAUGUAACGGGGCUCAAACUGGAUACCGAAGCUGCGGGUGCAGAUUUAUCUGCGCGGUAGAGGAGCGUUCUGUAAGCCGUUGAAGGUGAACUGAAAGGUUUGCUGGAGGUAUCAGAAGUGCGAAUGCUGACAUGAGUAACGAUAAGGGGAGUGAAAAACUCCCCCGCCGAAAGACCAAGGGUUCCUGUCCAACGCUAAUCGGGGCAGGGUGAGUCGGCCCCUAAGGCGAGGCUGAAAAGCGUAGUCGAUGGGAAACGGGUUAAUAUUCCCGUACUUGUAAUAACUGCGAUGGAGGGACGGAGAAGGCUAGGCGUACCGGGCGUUGGUUGUCCCGGGGAAAGUGUGUAGGCUGAGGACUU
rnacentral:rRNA from 1 species